AACUCCGGUGGUAUCAGAUGGACCCGCGUCUGAUUAGCUAGUUGGUGAGGUAACGGCCCACCAAGGCGACGAUCAGUAGCCGACCUGAGAGGGUGACCGGCCACAUUGGGACUGAGACACGGCCCAGACUCCUACGGGAGGCAGCAGUGGGGGAUAUUGCACAAUGGAGGAAACUCUGAUGCAGCGACGCCGCGUGAGUGAAGAAGUAUUUCGGUAUGUAAAGCUCUAUCAGCAGGGAAGAAAAUGACGGUACCUGACUCAGAAGCCCC
rnacentral:rRNA from 1 species